rnacentral:rRNA from 1 species
CAAUAGCGUAUAUUAAAGUUGUUGCAGUUAAAAAGCUCGUAGUUGAAUUUCGGGUCCCCGCGCUCGGCGCUUCAUUGUGCCGUCGUGGUGUCCCUCCUCGCCGUAAGGCGUCCUUUACUGUGAAAAAAUUAGAGUGUUCAAAGCAGGCAAUCGCUUGAAUACAUUAGCAUGGAAUAAUAAGAUAGGAUCUUGUCUAUUUUGUUGGUUGCGGACAACGAUAAUGAUUAAUAGGGAUAGUUGGGGGUGUCCGUAUUGAGCUGUCAGAGGUGAAAUUCUUGGAUUUGCUCAAGGCGAACUACUGCGAAAGCAUUCACCAAGGAUGUUUUCAUUAA